GCUGUUUACCACGGUACAAAACCAACAAACACAAUGAAUCUCUUCAGCAGCUUCAUCUGGAUUCUGACAGCUUUUACUUCAGCAGCAUCCAGAGGAAUCACUGUGACUCAACCUGAAGUUGUGACUGUUUCUGAAGGACGAGACGCCACUAUAGUGUGUGAAACUGAUACUGGGAUAUAUGGCUAUGGUUUAGCUUGGUAUCAGCAGAAACCUGGAGAAACUCCUAAACUCAUCAUUUAUCUGAUAAAUGAUCGCUAUGAUGAGAGUUUCAGUCGAUUCAGUGGGAAUGGAGAAGAAGAUGGAACAGAUUUCACUCUGACCAUCAGUGGAGUCCAGACUGAAGAUGCUGCACAUUAUUACUGUCAAAGUGUACAUGACAUCAACAGUCAAGCUGUGUUCACACAGUGA